UACGGGAGCAGCAGUGGGGAAUAUUGCACAAUGGGCGCAAGCCUGAUGCAGCCAUGCCGCGUGUAUGAAGAAGGCCUUCGGGUUGUAAAGUACUUUCAGUCGUGAGGAAGGUGUUAAGGUUAAUAACCUUAGCAAUUGACGUUAGCGACAGAAGAAGCACCGGCUAACUCCGUGCCAGCAGCCGCGGUAAUACGGAGGGUGCGAGCGUUAAUCGGAAUUACUGGGCGUAAAGGGCACGCAGGCGGUUAAUUAAGUUGGAUGUGAAAUCCCCGGGCUUAACCUGGGAAUGGCAUUCAAGACUGGUUAGCUAGAGUCUUGUAGAGGGGGUAGAAUUCCAUGUGUAGCGGUGAAAUGCGUAGAGAUGUGGAGGAAUACCGGUGGCGAAGGCGGCCCCUGGACAAAGACUGACGCUCAUGUGCGAAAGCGUGGGGAGCAAAC
rnacentral:rRNA from 1 species